rnacentral:rRNA from 1 species
CAGCAGCCGCGGUAAUACGUAGGUGGCAAGCGUUGUCCGGAAUUAUUGGGCGUAAAGGGCUCGCAGGCGGCUUCUUAAGUCUGAUGUGAAAGCCCCCGGCUCAACCGGGGAGGGUCAUUGGAAACUGGGAAACUUGAGUGCAGAAGAGGAGAGUGGAAUUCCACGUGUAGCGGUGAAAUGCGUAGAGAUGUGGAGGAACACCAGUGGCGAAGGCGACUCUCUGGUCUGUAACUGACGCUGAGGAGCGAAAGCGUGGGGAGCGAACAGGAUUAGAGACCCCCGUAGUCCCUGUCUCUUAUAC